GCCCUUAUGAAUGGGGUUAGUGCCCUUACAAUAGAAACUCCAGAGAAUUCCCUUGCUGCUUCUGUCAUAUGAGGACUUAGGAAAAGACAGCCAUCUGUGAACCAGGAAGUGGGUCCUCACCAGACAUCUGGCACCUUGAUCUCGGACUUCUCAGCCUCUAGAACUGUGAGAAAUAAAUUUUUGUUGUUUAUAAGGCACCCAGUCCAUUGUAUUUUAUUAUAGCAGCCCAAACAGACUGAGUCAUUGAGAAGAAAUAGACAGUAUUUCUGUUGGUUAAGGUGAAACAUCCUAAGAUUCAUGGUACCCAUUGAUUUAAUUUUAACAUAAUCCCAUAGAAGGCAUGGAUGCUCUGAUCCAGUGAAUAAUAAAAUUAUAUUUUUGGCACUUACAAAUUGAGAAAAUGGGACCCCGUGUACCGUAUACCCCAACUGAAACCAUUAUAAAGACCUAUCUAGAGAAAUGGUUAUCACCUCUGCUUCUCUGUUUAAUGGUCCAGUUUAGCUUAUUCUUAGUCUGGAAAUAUUCUUAGUCUGGAAAUAAUGAUGGUGCUUCACAAGGGAUUAUCACAACCUUAAUGCUAUGGCCCAUCUGUUAAGGACCCAGUACCCAAUUUAUUAAAAUUAUUGCUUCCAUCCAAAUAGCAAGUAGUAAAUAUUUUCUUAUUCCAGGUUUGGCUAAUAUGUUCUGUUCAGUGCUCUUUUCAACAGCCUCUCAGCCACAGUUUGCCUUCACCUCUGAAGGGACACCAGACACCUUUACCAGGCUACCCGUGGGAUACCUCAGCAACUCUGCCAUUGCAGUCUUCGUGGGCAAUACCUUAACUGCAUCCAGUUUUCUCCAGGAGCACAGGUAUGACAUUACAUUGAUGACAUCCUCCUCUGAGGAAAUUCAUUUCACAAAUCCACUUGGGACAUAUAAAUACCCACAAAAGAACUCACAAAAAGAGGCAUAAGUUAUUUCACCACACAUAACACAAAGAUCUACCCCCUCAGUUAAGUUCCUGAAAAUUAUUUGUAAACCAAGGGCCGCUCCAUCCCUGACACCAUCAAGAAACAGCUAUUGACUGGUUUUUUUUGUUUUUUUUUUUUAAUUGUGUGUUCUUAACACACACAGUGUUAAUACAGAUAUGUCCUUUAGUCCUUUUUGGGUUCUGUAGGCAACAUAUUUCCCCACUUAAAAUUUUUUUUUAAUCUCACUGAUGCUGUUACUUUCAAAUUGGCCCAACUUGUACAGGGCCUCCUCCAAAAGCAGGCUCAAGAAUCAGUCCAAAUUGAAAUCAACAGGUACUCCCAUUCAUGCCCCCAGAGACUCUUUCACUGUGGGGGCUUUAGCAGCCUCCUGGAAUCCAAACCAAGGCUGCAAGGAAUACCGUGCUGGUGGAUGAGGCAUUCUGUAAAUCUCUUGAUGUUGGUUUUGACAGAUGCAUUGCAGGCAGGGAAGGCAAAUCCAUGUACUCCAAAUCUUUUGAUGGUAGGUACAAAAUACCAUCUGUUUUGUGAUGGGAAUGAUCUAAUGCAGUCACCCUGAUAACAAGUAGCUAAACUGAUCCAUCCACGAAUGGUGCCAAGUUGGUUGGUAAUUGGUGCUCUACUGCUGGCAGAUUAGGCACUUAACAGGGACUUUAGCCAGAUCGGCCUCGACGAGAGUAAGUCCGUUUUGCUGAGCCCAUGCAUAAUCUCUUUCACUCCCACUGCGGCCACUUCAUUCAUGAGCCCACUGGGCAAUGCCAGAAGAGGCUGGGAAAAGGGCCUGACUGACAGAAGGAGAUGGGCAUCCACAGAAUGUGUCCUUAAUUAUUCAGUCCUCCAGUGAGGUUACUCUUUGGUGAGCAUUCACAUGGUACACAAAUACCUUCACUCUGCCCAUUUGGAAAGGUCUGGGCAUGCACCUCUUCCCGAGAACUUUUCACAGCUUUUCCAGGGUACCCCUUCUUAGUCCUUGACCAUUUAGCUAAACCGUUAGCCACUGUACAUAAAUACGUG
rnacentral:lncRNA from 1 species